rnacentral:ncRNA from 1 species
AGAGUUCAGUACAGCUCCAAAGUAUAUAUUUUUAAAUGAAGAUUCUAUUAAUUAAGAAAUUCAAAAUAUUUAUUAACAUUUUAUAUGAUAAAAGUUUUAAAAUUUAUAUUAACUAAUUAUUUAGUGCCAGCAGUUGCGGUUAUACUAUAAAUAUUAUAUACUAAAUUUUAUUAGCUAAUUUUCUAUUAAAUAUAUAAAUAUAUUAAUUAAAAUUUUAUAUUUGUAUUUUUAAAUUUGUUAAACCUAAUUUAAAUUUUUAAUUUAAAAAAGGAUUAGACACCCUUUUAUAUUUAAACAAAAAAAGUAGUAGAUUUAUAUUUCAAAACUUAUGUAGAUUGGCGGCAUUUUUCCAAUUUAGAGGAACCUGCUAAAUAAUCGAUAAUCCACGUUAAUUUUCACUUUUAUUAAUAUUUUAUAUACCUCCAUCUUAAGAAUUUAUUUUUACAAUUUUAUUCUAAAUAGAAAACUAAUAAGUUAGGUAAAGGUGUAGACUACAUAAAAGUUAUAGUGGGUUACUAUAAACAAAAUUUAAGGAAAAAAAAAAAAAUUUUUUUUAUAAAUAGGAUUUAUUAGUAAUGUUUAAAUAAUAUUUAAACUUGAAUUUGAUAACAAAUGUGCACAUAUCGCCCGUCACCCUUACCACAAGGUAAGGUAAGUCGUAACAUAGUUGAUGUUCUAGAAAGAGUAUCAGGA